CCACUGUUCGAGAACAGCUUCAUCCUCUGGAAGACUCGAAUCCACAUUCUUUCGACAACACGUGAUCUCCAACAACAUAACUCCAAAGCUAAAACAUCUGCUUAACUGUCCCCGGCAUAUUCCGGUGCCAUUCUGGUGCUACAUAUCCCUUGUCCCUCUAAUUCCGGUGAAGGUUUUAGUUUGGUCUGACUUCAGCAAACUUUGCCAAUCCAAAGUCAGAAACUUUGGGGCACCUGCUUUCAUCUAUUAGUAAUUCUGAGGUUUUAUUCACAGUGGAUGAUCUGAGUGUCGCACUCUUCAUGUAGAUAAACAAUACCCCUUGCAAUGUUGCGAGCAAUUUCCAACCUUUCAGGGAAAGCAAGGUCGUUUUUCAGUGAGAAGAGUAUGUCAGCGAGGGACCAUUGCUCAUGUACUCGUAUACCAGGAGCCUGUGCAUGGCAAUAGCCCGAGCAGACGGGCUAGGUUUCUGUGACGUGUUUUCCCAAUGACUUUCAUCUCAUUCUGAAAUUCUCUUUCCCUUCAGCUAGAGCUUUCUCCAGUCUCUAGACAGCAACGAGUACUUGAUAUAUCCCUUUAAACUGUCCCAAAUGAUCCCCUGCCAAUUUCUUCCUUGAAACCACCAGUAAUAUUUUCUAGCUUUGCAUAAGUGAAAGCUCGAGGAGCAAAUACCUCAUUCAAUGCAGUACCAUCAUUAUUUGGCACCCUUUUAUGCCAAUACAUGAUAUCUGUAAACGAUGAUUCCGAAAAUCGACACCAUAGCAAGCCCAAAAGCAACAAAUGAACCAUUUAUGAUGCGAACCUCGUGAUCACGUGGUCACGCAACCCACACGCAAAGACACCAAUUCCCGGAAAACCAAGUAAAUCAGGUUUGAUAGGAGUGUGACACAAAGAUAACUUGUACCUAGGCACCAGCACUAUUGGAAACGAAAAACCCCCACCCAACGAAUAUAGAUUCGCGAAUGAGAAGUAUAAGGAUGAUGCCACGAAGCCAGUUGUUCUUCGAUAAGUCGUUUUCAGUUCUUUAGAGAACCAAGGAAGGGAGAUUAUCCCACCAACACACAAGUACUGCAAAGAAGUUUAUUGAUAUAAAAGCCUCUAUUUAUACUGACUCUAGACUUAAAGAAACCCUAAUGGACCCCCCUUAGGUGGACUUAUAUGAAGCCCACUUACAAUUGACCCAAAUAAGUAAUAAUAACCCAAAAACUAAGAAGAAAAUAAUAAAAAUAAUAAAAAUCCGAAAAUUACCAUCCUAAAUAUGCUAGAAUCAAAUUUGUAUUGAUGUCCUUGAUUAGCUUGGAUAAAUUUCCUCCUUUGUUGCUGAUUUAAUUACUUUUCUUCCUAUGUUAGGAAAAGCAUUAAAUAGUCCUCCCCUCUUUAGGAAUAAGAUAUGGCCAACUUCCUUACUUAAUUAGGAGAAUAAAUUGCUGGCUUUUUAUCCUUGUAGCAUUAGGAAAUAAAACAAGCCUAACAAGGCUGGUAUUGGGCCGGACAUAUCAACCCCUUGUUCCACAUGAAUUGGGCUCUUCUUGGACAUGAACUAGAUGAAUUAAAGGCUGUCCUUCAUGCUCCUUAAAUGUCCCAAGCCCUUCUAGGUCCAUCUUGCUCCAUAAGUUCUGAACAAGCCCAUUCAAUGCUUCUUUAAGCUUCUUUGCCCUAGCUCUUGUGAUUGGCCCAAUUGGCACCUCCAAUGGAUCGUUGGCAUGAUUACGCUUGGUGUUGGGCUGAUCCGCAUCAACGUAUUAUUAGGAUUGUCCUGCCAGUGCCAAGGUUCUUCUUCUCGGUUAUAGGCUCUUUUCUGUCCAUGGUGGACAUGGGUCUGCCCACCUUGACGACAGCCAAGUUCGUACUUCCUAAGUUUCUCCUCCCAAAUCUCAAAGGAAGCCUUUGCUUUCUGCAGUACUGCCCAUCAGUGAAUAAUGCUGCUUCACAGUUACAGUCUUCCAAACAGGCUUGCUUACAAUUGUCUUUCAUUGUUAAAGACAAAACGGAGUACGAAACAUCUUCCCAGAUAGUAUUAGACAGCUCUUCCAUGGUGUAUGUGCUACUUCCAUUCUUGUCGUUGCAACUUUCAGCAUUGAAAUCCCUCUGACAGCCAGAAGUCCAAUUUCCCUGGGUAACAAACUUAAAUCCAGGAAGACAAGUACAUUCAGCUUCCUUAUCCUUCAGAACACAAUAUCCAUUAAGACCACAUGAUCCUUUCGGGUCGCACUUGUUGCUUGUGGAUCAUGACCACAUAUCUGACCAGUUUCCAUUCCGUGUCAGAUUUCGUGAAUAUAAUCUGAAAAUCCCAUCAGCAUCAAGUUUCAUCAUAUUAAUUGUUUCUUUCGUGGGAUAUCCUCCAGCUGUAAUGUUUUUUAUGUUGAAACCUGUGGAAUUGAGCAGGUAGAGACGGCCAUCCGGAUCAAGAUUUAGGGUCACAUUAUCUCCCUUCCCAUCAGUAAAAGAUGAAAAAUAAGAAUAUGGAGCUGUAUCUGGAGUAUUAACAGGAUACUGCACAAGGUUGCCAUCAUUUUGCAUCUUGAGUCGGUAAAUACCAGUUGAGAGUUCAGUUUCUGAAACAGGAGAAACCAGCUCUGCCCCUGCUCUGAGCUGUUGAGUUGGCAAAAGGGUAUCUGUUGGGUGGUCAAAACUCUGCCAUAUAAUCUCGCGAUCAGAAUUAUAUAGCACAAAGUUGCCUGAAUCAGACAUAGAAGCUAAAGAAGCUGGCUGGGAAGCAGAAACUAUCGGAGUCUCAUCCCCUUGUGCUGAUCUCAAGACAACCCUGCCAUCACUGGUGAAGAGCAAGGUCGCAUUACUGGGGACUGGGGCAUCAUCCCUUCUAGCAGCCCACACAACAGUCUCUAGUGAAAUCCCGGAUAGAAAAACCCCUAUAGAAUAGCCGUCGCGUUGUCGGAAAAAUCCGAAAGCAUAAAGACCGGAAGGUGACAACCAUGAGGAGUUUGUGAUAGGUGUUAGAGAAGAUCCGAGGGUUAUAUUGGUCUGUCUUUGAGCUGAAGCUGUAAAAGAUAAGGCGAGAAGAAGAAAAAAGAUGAUAGAAGCCAUGGAUAGGGAUUUAGCUCUUGUGUGGUAUGUGAGUGUCAAAAUAAGGAUGUCUAUUGUUCCAGCACUCCAUUAUCUUUCUGUGGUUUCCAGCAGUCAAGCCAGGCACUCAAAACAUAAAAGUCUAGCCAUAGAAUCCACCGCGUUUCCCUACCAAUUGGUGGAAAUUGUUGCUCUUAGUUUUAUGCUUUCAAAGUCACCGAAAAAACUUGGCAGUUACUUGGUGCUGGUCCACUUUUUUCAUCUUGGUAUCCCCCAUUUGAAAAGUCAUUUGCUAAUUUCCCCGGGACUAUUCUUGGUUCUAAUUUUCUGCAGCAGAUUCUUUUUUAUUUGUCAAGUACCAUUCAAUACGCUUAGAAGACACAAUCUUUAGCUUCCUGCAGACAGCUUCAACUAGUUAAGAAAUAUCGAUUUGGUGCCAAUGCUAAUACCCUGGCAUUAUACUAGGGCAAGACAGAACAACUUGCUAGCUUAUAGUCAUGUCCCUCAAAAGCUAAAGCCUAGCUAGCAACCUCAGUUUCUAACGAGAGAGCAUCUCUACAUGUUGCGUAACUAACAAUCCCUUGAAUAUUAAAACUGAAAAGUGGAACUCAUUGGACCGUUGAUUUUAUGACCAGUUCCACCGUACGACUUAAUUCAGAGUACAAUUGAGGUGGUCACGGCAAGGACCGGGUCAAGGGACAACCUAGCAUUUGCUGACCUGCUCUUCUCAGCUAAAGCUUCUUUUUUUUUUUUUUGAAAGAUGCGCAUAUUAUUUAAACGUCAAAGUCUGACGGGAAUAGAACAGAAGCUAUACAAUAUCUUACUAUGACAAAAAGCCAUAUAUAGGAUAAAGCGCAGCAUAAGAUAAACAAAAGCAAAGAAAACCACAAAAAAUCCAUCCGAAUGAGCUGAAGCUAAACAUUCCUCUACAAAACAAAACAAAAAUUACUCAAAGACAUAAUGGGAGAAGAAACAAUAGCAAGGCCAUAGAAAAAUGGUGAAUUCAAAGCCAGGCAACAAAUUCACUUGAUCUUCGCACUCCUUGUUUAGCCAAGUCAUCUGCCAUGCAAUUGCUUUCACGAAAGAUAUGUGAGAAGGUGAUUGAACCAAAAUAUGCUUUUAAUCUAUUAAAAAAGGAGAACAAAUUAUGAUGCUUCCAGGGACGACUGAGAGGAUUAUUCAUCCACAGAAUAACAUUGACCGAGUCAGAUUCGAUGAUGAGGUGUUGAUGGUGUAAGAGGCAAUUAGAUGCUGAUAGUUCAAUGGCUUUGACAAUAGCCCUUAACUUAGCAAUAUUAGAGUCUAAAAUACCAACUGGAACAGAGAACAUACCGAGCAGAUGACCAUGAUGAUUUCGCAACACACCACCUAUUCUAGAGGGGCCUGGCUUACCAAGAGAAGAGCCGUCCACAUUCCAUUUGAGGCUAUUAAUCAUAGGAGGAGACCAUAUAUUAUUAAUCCUGAAAGAGUGAGCAUUGGACCACCGAAGCAAGCCAUCUGCCGAUCUGAUUAGAUCUGUAGGGGAGUAUGGAAAAUCUGAAUGGAUAGCUUUUAGCCAUAGACAUAAACGGGUGAUAAUAAGAAAGAAUAUUGAGUCAUAGUCUGGUGUCUUCUGUUGGAAAAUCAGAUCAUUUCGAAGGAGCCAAAGAGACCAUGCCAUUGAGAAGAACAACAUCAACCAUGCCUUCCUCUGAAAAUUACCAUGCACCAUGGAAGACCAUUGAGACCACAUAUCUGAGAAGCUCUUUGGGCAACACCAAACUAAACCCCACCAUUUAAUGAUUUUGGACCAAAUGAGCCAAUGUUUAUGGCAGUGCAACAGAAUAUGGUCCACCGAUUCUGCUUCAACAAGGCAGAUAGGGCAAAGGGCAAUUUGAUUCCGAGCUACCCAAGAUACCUCUUCGAACCAACAUACAUCGGGUGUUGAGUCUGUUAAUGAUAGUCAUCUAGCAAAAGAUCUCUACCUUAAGAGGGACAAUACCUUUCCAAAUUCCAGCAAAUGAGAAGGCAUUGUUUGUGGAAGGCUUUGGACUCAACAAUACGCAGAGAGAUUUCAUUGAAAAUCUUCCUGAAUUAUUGUCCUUCCAAAUUAGUCUAUCCUCUCCAUCUUUGUCCAUGAGUACUAACGAAAGGAUUGCAUAGAGUUGAUCAAGCAAACCGAUGUUGCGCCCCCGUAGUGGACGUAUCCAUGAAAAAAACCAAAUCCAUUCAUACCCUUCCCACAUUCCCAUCUUAGCAAUGGUGCAGCUUUGUCAUUGGAUAAUUGUAAAAGAGUAGGGAAGUGAUCUUCUAAACAAUGGUUAUUAAGCCAGCAAUCAAGCCGAAACAUAGUUUUCUUGCCAUUUCCAAUAAGAACCAAAGAUUGCUCAUUCACAAUAUCCUGCAACUUAUUAUUUCUCACAUAAUGAUUGACAAUCCAGGACCAUGUAGUUGCAGUUCCUGGAAUAGGAGCUUGCAGCAGGAGAUUAGAGCAAUUGGUGUUGUGGAUGGUUUUGAUCACAUCCUUCCACAUACUUGAUUCCUCCAACCCAAACCUCCAUAACCAUUUAAAGAGCAGAACUUUAUUUUUGUCCCUUAAAGAACCAAUCCCAAGACCACCCGCAUGUUUUGGAAGAGUAACAGUUGCCCAGCUAACAUUGCAUAUUUUGUGCCUAGCUUCUUCUCUCACCAUCUUCAUGCCAUGGUUGCUGAUUGGAGGGGCUUUAUAAUUUAUUUAUUACAAUUGUGCUAUGAAAAAGAAAAAAAAAUGCUAUGAUAUUAAAAAAAAAAAGAAUUUCCUCGUAGCUAUGAUAUUUGUGAUAUUAAUUAUGUUACACUUGUGAUCAUGUUGAUGAGAAUAAUAAUAAAUUCAUAUAGUUUUAGUAAUGUUUAUGUUAGCAAGCAAUGCUACUGAAGGUGAAGAAGCUGUGACGAAGAUGAUGGUGAUGUAAUGGUAAUGACGAUUAAAGUGAUUGAAAAAUAUUUUUCUUUUGAUAAUUUAUUAGUAUAUAUAUAUUUCAAAUGUUUAAGAUAUUUUUCAAAUAAAUGUACCUUAACUAUGAUAAAUGAUAUAUUCUCCGUUUGUUUGCAAUUUGAUUGUAAAGGCUUCCUUUUAACAUAAUUCUGCUUGAUAUGCUCCAUGUAAUUACAAACUAAUUAGCUCAUUCUGGUCUUCUCACUUCUGGCAAUUAGUCAGUUUGAUGGCGGCUUGCAACAAUGUACUGUCACCAACCGUUGUAUUGGACUUCGAUUCACCGAUAAUGCCCUGCAACUGAGCUUGAGCGAAGGAAUGGACAUUUGCAUUUAGGCAAGGAAUUGCCUUGUAGAAUAGAAGAAGAAGAAGAAGAAGGGGGAAAAACAAGCAGAGAUCAUAAUCUCAUUAAUUCUAUUCUUCGUAAAGAGCUCACUCUUGAGAUAACAUAAGACCACCAAACGUUGUUUAUACUAAGAACACGUGAAGCUUUCAUGCUAACGUUUUCUUUUCUCCUCUUUAUAUACCUUUUUUCUUUUUCUUUUUUUUAAUAUCUAAGAUACGGUGGGAAACAACUUUAUUAACAUUAGAAGAAAAAUCACCAGGAAGCUCCUAAAUGCUGCGUAAACAUAUAGCAAUUUUAUAAAGAAAAGGAAUACAUGACCUGAAAAAUAAAGUACAACACUCUGCACAUGAAUCUCUUAUUCCGAACCACAAAACGCAGCUCAUAUAGCGGUAAAAAAAAGUAGGACUUGGAGGGAUUGGGAUUUCGACUGUCCCCUCCAAAAUCAUCAGGAAGCUCCUAAAUGCUGCGUAAACAUAUAGCAAUUUUAUAAAGAAAAGGAAUACAUGACAUGAAAAUAAAAUACAAUACUUUGCAGGUGAAUCCCUUAUUAUGAACCACAAAACGCGGCUCAUACAGCGGUAAAAAAAGAAGUAGGACUUGGAGGGAUUGGGAUUUCGACGGUCCCAUCCAACAUGAGGAGGACCUUUUUCAUUGAAGGGCGGAGGGAUGGCUCAUCAAGAGUGCACCAAAGUCCCACUUUAACCAUCCUAUCUAACUGUUUCUUUCCAACGACUUCUUCACCCACAAGUUUGUCCAUAUCACCGUCCUGAAAACAUUGAUAAACCCACUGUUCGAGAACAGCUUCAUCCUCUGGAAGACUCCAAUCCACAUUCUUUCGACAACACGUGAUCUCCAACAACAUAACUCCAAAGCUAUAAACAUCUGCUUUAACUGUCACCGGCAUAUUCCGGUGCCAUUCUGGUGCUACAUAUCCCCUCGUCCCUCUCAUUCCGGUGAAGGUUUUUGUUUGGUCUGACUUCAGAAUUUUUGCCAAUCCAAAGUCAGAAACUUUGGGGCACCUGCUUUCAUCUAUUAGUAUAUUCUGAGGUUUUAUAUCACAGUGGAUGAUCUGAGUGUCGCACUCCUCAUGUAGAUAAACAAUACCCCUUGCAAUGUUGCGAGCAAUUUCCAACCUUUCAGGGAAGCAAGGUCGUUUUUCAAGUGAGAAGAGUAUGUCAGCAAGGGAGCCAUUGCUCAUGUACUCGUAUACCAGGAGCCUGUGAUGUUCAUCAUGGCAAUAGCCGAGCAGACGGGCUAGGUUUCUUUGAUUUUUUUUGGAGAGAUAAAGGAGGACAAGAGAAAGUAUUGAAUGUGAGUGUUAUCAGUCAUUUCUUAUAUAUUAUAUAUAUGAGGGUGUAUAAAGGAAAUCCCCUCAGAUUCAGCCAAUAUUCAAAUUUCCCAGAUUCAGCCAAUAUUCACUUGCCUCUUGCCCAUGAUCCUGCAACCAUCAUUCAAGCAUAAUAUCAAGCUUGUAACGGCAGACAAAUCUUCAACGUAAAUGCAGUAUAAAUGUCAAGACGUAAUCUUAGCUUACUUUCUAAAUUCAAACCUGCAAAGCUGUGUAUAUAUAUGUUAACAAUUGUAUUACUCAAGGUGUGGCGAAAUAUACAAUUCUGAAGUUUAUCAAAUAGCUCAACUCUCUGAAAUUUCUUAUCUUCAUCAUGGUAUCAGAGCAACAAAUCUCCAACGAGAAUUUGAUCCCUCACAAUCCUAUCUCAACCCCAUCCUCUCCAACUGAAACACCUCUGAUUGCCCUCAACAUCACAUCCCAGAUAAAUGAUAAACUUACCCCCUCUACAUUCCUUCAAUGGCGCGCUCAGUUUGAAGCCUUACUCAUCGGGUAUGAUCUCCUUGAUUAUGUCACUGGAGAAAAAAUCUGCCCUGUAUCCACCAGCACAGCAGUCUGCGCCAUCCAACGAACACACUGGAUAAGGCAAGAUAAGCUUAUCCUCAGUGCCAUUUUGGCAUCCACAUCCACUGUUAUUACUCCUCUCAUCUCCAUGGCCAAGACAUCAAAGGAUGCAUGGCAUAAAUUGCAUACUCUGUAUGCAAGCAAGUCCAGAACCAGAGCAAUGCAACUUAAGGAAGAACUCACAAUGAUAAAGAAGGGCAACCAGUCAAUUCAAACUUAUCUUCAUUCUGUAAAAUCGUUGGCAGACGAAAUCUCCCUCAUAGAUCACCCAAUCUCUGAAGAUGAUCUAACACUCUAUAUUCUAAAUGGCCUGGGAACUGACUUUCGUGAAAUUGCAGGCCCUAUUCGCGCCCGAGAACGACCACUCACUUUUGAGGAACUUCAUGAUCUCCUUGUAAGUCAUGAUGCAUAUCUUCGCCGUCUUGAUGCCUCCUCCCAUCUGAUUGCUUCUGCAAACUACACGCACCGACGGGCUUCGUAUAAUCAAGAAAAUCAGUCUUUUAAAUCUGCCCCAAACCCCACUUUUUUGACAGAUCAUAUGGGCUUCACUAUCGCCAGCCUGGCAAUCCGAGAGACACAACAAAAAUCAUGGACCACGUCGUUUUCCUCCAGCUCCAAAGUGCCAACUAUGUGACCGCAUGGGUCAUACUGCCAAACACUGCAGUCGGUUUCAGUAUACCACCCCAACAGCGAAUUGCACUUCCACCUCACCCGCACAGGAUACAAAAUGGCUUAUAGACUCAGCCGCGUCUCAUAAUAUUACUGGUGAUCUUGCUAAUCUAUCUAUUCAUUCCGAAUACGAUGGCACAGACGAAGUUAUCAUUGGUGAUGGUUCAGGUUUGCCUGUUUCUCACAUUGGCUCCUUACAUCUUCAUUCCCCCACACGUACCUUCCAUUUAAAUGACACCCUUUGUGUUCCUAAUCUACAAAAAAAAUCUCAUAUCUGCUCAUCAAUUUACUCGUCAAAAUCAUGUCUUUAUUGAGCUUCACCCCUCUUUCUUUUUUGUUAAGGACAAGAUCACGGGAGCGGCUCUAUUCCGAGGAGCGUGUGAGAAUGGUGUUUACAUCCUUCCGAAGUCAAUGGUGCAGCCUUCUCAUCCUAUUGUUGCUAAUGUGCAUGAAAGGGUCUCCAUGGACGGAUGGCACAAACGCCUUGGGCAUCCCUCUCCUAAAUUGGUCACUCACCUUAUCAAAUCAUUUUCCCUUCCAACAAUAAAUAAAAAAAAUAUUUCUCUUUGUUCCUCAUGUUCUAUUAAUAAAGCUCAUCGUCAACCAUUUCGUCAAAACAGUCUCUUGAGUCAUGCCCCUCUUGACUUACUUUAUACUGAUGUGUGGGGUCCCUCAAGUACAAUUGGCAUUACUGGGGCUCGUUACUAUCUCAUUUUUGUUGAUCAUUUCACAAAAUACAUUUGGUUUUAUCCUAUGGAGACUAAAUCCAGUGUCCGCAUCAUAUUUCCUCAAUUCAAAAAUCUUGUUGAAAAUCGGUUUCAGUUAAAAAUUAAAUCUGUCUAUUCUGAUAAUGGUGGUGAAUUUGUUGCCUUAAAACAAUAUUUUACAACAAAUGGAAUCAGUCAUUACACCACAGCUCCUCAUACACCGCAACAAAAUGGUGUUUCUGAGCGUCGUCAUCGUCACUUGGUUGAAACCGGUCUCACAUUACUACAUGAUGCAUCCCUUCCCCUUCAGUAUUGGCCCUAUGCUUUUUCCACUGCUGCAUAUCUUAUUAACCGUCAACCCACACCUCUCCUCCACCAUAAAUCUCCGUUUGAAACUUUGUUUACACAGCCUCCAAAUUAUAAAAAGCUAAAAAAAUUCGGUUGUCUUUGUUUUCCUCUUGUUCGGCCAUAUAACACAAACAAGUUACAACCAAAAUCAAUUCCAUGUAUUUUCGUAGGCUACUCCUUAACCCAAAAUGCAUACAGCUGCCUUGAUCCCAUAACCAACCGUCUCUACCAAUCACGCCAUGUCAUCUUUCAUGAAAAUGAAAAUGGUUUCUCCUCCAACCAUCCUUCCACACCCAGCCCGACAAGCGACUCCUCUGUUCAUGGUCCUCUUUCAUCUCCUCCUGCACCUCCACCAGUGACUUCGGCAAGGAUACCCACUCUCACUGCUUCCUCAGGUAAUGACUCCCCCACUGUAUCUUUUAAUUCACGUGCACUCAUACCUUUAUCUUCUUCUGCUUCUCCUAGUUUUCAGCUUGCCUCAUCUCCACUGCCAAAUCCCAGUCAUCCACCCUCAUCAGUUAUUUGUGCACCUUCUCCAAGCUCACCUCCCUCAUCACCCAAUCCUGCACCCACCCGGCCUCACUCCAUGGUCACCCGUUCCAUGAAUAACAUUUAUAAACCCAAACAACUUAACAUCACCACAAAACACCCCAUCCCAAAAACUGUAGAACCAACCUGUGUGGGACAGGCUCUUCGUGAGCCACACUGGAGAUCAGCAAUGUCUGAGGAACUCACAGCCCUCAUGAGGCAUGGCACAUGGGAGUUGGUACCGCCUCCUCCGGACUGCCAACCAGUUGGGUGCAAAUGGGUUUUUCGGAUCAAACGACAUCCUAAUGGCUCCAUUGCUCGGUUCAAAGCCCGUUUGGUUGCAAAGGGAUAUCAUCAGCGGCCUGGUCUAGACUACAAUGAAACGUUCAGUCCAGUUGUGAAACCUGCCACCAUCAGAACAGUUCUCACCGUGGCUGUCACACAGGGGUGGCCAUUACGGCAGCUAGAUGUAAACAAUGCCUUUUUGCAUGGGAACCUGCAGGAAACAGUCUACAUGUUACAGCCACCGGGGUUCCAUGAUACCUCCACUCCCCAUCAUGUCUGUCGGUUAAACAAGGCUAUUUAUGGCCUCAAACAGGCCCCUCGUGCCUGGUAUUCUGCUCUGCAACAAGCCAUUCUGAAACUGGGAUUCACCAGCUCCAAAGCCGAUCCUUCUCUAUUUAUCUUUCACAGUGCAGAUGUUUUGUGUUACUUGCUGGUCUACGUGGAUGAUCUCGUUCUCACUGGAAACACUCCAUCCUUCCUGACUCAUGUGAUUGAUCAACUUAGCAUCCAAUUCUCAUUGAAAGAUAUGGGUGCACUUCAUCAUUUUCUGGGGCUAGAUGUUAUACCCACCAAAAACGGGUUGUUCUUAUCUCAACAUCAAUACAUACGGAUCUUCUCUUCAAAACUAAUAUGCAGGGUGCUAAGGAUGUCUCUUCUCCUAUGUCCACUUCGGUCCAGCUCAAGCUUAUUGAUGGCACAGCUCCCUGUGACAGCACUGCAUUUCGAAGCAUCAUCGGUGGAUUACAAUAUUUGUCUCUUACUCGUCCUGAUGUUUCCUUCACUGUUAAUAAGCUGUCACAAUUCAUGCAUCAACCUACGGUCACUCACUGGUCAGCUGCCAAACGCCUGCUCCGCUAUUUGAAGAAAACCAUCUUCCUUGGCAUUCACAUAAAUCGUCAGUCUUCAUUUGAUAUCACCACUUUUGCUGAUGCUGAUUGGGCUGGGAAUUAUGAUGAUCGCACCUCCACCUCAGCUUACAUUACAUUCCUUGGGCUCAAUCCCAUCUCGUGGAGCUCAAAGAAACAACGUGCAGUCGCCAGGUCCUCCACAGAAGCUGAGUAUCGUUCCCUUGCCACUGCUACGUCUGAAACAGUUUGGCUGUUGUCCCUGUUCAAAGAACUGUGUCUCCCAAUUUCAUCUCCGCCAAGGCUGUUGUGUGACAACCUGGGAGCUACACACCUUAGCUUCAAUCCAGUUCAGCAUUCCCGGAUGAAACACAUUCAGAUAGACCUCCACUUUGUCCGUGAUAUGGUUCACAAGAAGAUCCUCAAUGUUCAGCAUGUCAAUACUCAUGACCAAUUGGCAGACUUUCUAACGAAGCCUCUGUCUUCCCAGCGUCUGCAUUCCUUACUGCUCAAGAUUGGCUUAGCUGAUGGCUCAUCCAUCUUGCGGGAGCGUAUAAAGGAAAUCCCCUCAGAUUCAGCCAAUAUUCAAAUUUCCCAGAUUCAGCCAAUAUUCACUUGCCUCUUGCCCAUGAUCCUGCAACCAUCAUUCAAGCAUAAUAUCAAGCUUGUAACGGCAGACAAAUCUUCAACGUAAAUGCAGUAUAAAUGUCAAGACGUAAUCUUAGCUUACUUUCUAAAUUCAAACCUGCAAAGCUGUGUAUAUAUAUGUUAACAAUUGUAUUACUCAAGGUGUGGCGAAAUAUACAAUUCUGAAGUUUAUCAAAUAGCUCAACUCUCUGAAAUUUCUUAUCUUCAUCAGGGUGAUCAUUUUAAAGAUUUUUUAGUAUAAUUUCUCAAAGUAUAAUGGGGAAAUGAAAACACGAUCAAAGCACAAGAAUAUUUUUUUUUUUUGUAAUUAUCCAUGAACUCAUGAAUAGUUGUAAAGUUUUUGAAGUGAGAUAAUGUUUGGUGAUUUAACUAGUUAGUUGGCCUGCAUUUUAUCGCGUGAUGAAGAAAUUUCUUGCUUUGCAAUGAAAAAUAAAAAGAAUUAUCUUGCAAUAUCGAUAAUAAACACAACAAAUUAAAACAAAAUAAAACUAAGUUUGUUUACAUGUUGGUCGUUAAUUUAAGAUUAAAAUUUAUGGUUAAUUAAAAUUUUUUUUUACUAUAUUUCAUAUGUCACAAAUAUUUGUGUUAUAAAUAUUGUUAUUUUUAUUAUAAUUAAAAAUACUAAUAUAAAAAUAUUGUUGUUUGUGCUAUAAAUAUGAUUAUUUUUAUUAUAAUUAAUUUGAUUAAUAAAAUAAUUAAUAAAUUUGAAAAACAAAUUAUUAUCAAUAUUGAAAAACAACCAUAGAUUUGAUUUGAAAUGUAAAAUUGAAAAUUGUUAUUGUUAUCAUUAAUAAAUUUGAAAAAAAAAUACUAUUAUUACUAUUGAAGAAAAUCCAUAAUUUUUCAAAAAAAUUAAAAAAUAUAAGAAUUUAGACGGACAAGUUAAAUAUUAUUAUUUAUAUUAUAAAUAUUAUCGUUGGGUUUGACAUUACAGUUAGACUCGACUCCUUCAAUUCUUGUGUUGCAACCAGACCAAAGCUUUUGAGUCAUAUAUUUUUUUUAUAUUUUUUAUGAAAAUAAAACGUUGGCCGCAACCUAACUAAUAAUUACUAAAUGAGGACUCCAAAUAAAUUAAUUCAUUUGAUUGCUAUGUGAGAUUUUUUAUAAAAUACUUCAAGGAAAACAAACAUAUUAAAAUCAUAAAAACAUUUUACUAUAAAAUAUUAUACAGAAUAAACGUAACUUACUCUAAAUUUCCUCAAACAAUCUUGCAUUGCAAGAUUAAAUGGGCAGUAACAACGCCAGGAAUGCUUUCUUGUGGAUUUAAACACAUUUUUCUAUUCCUCUUAAUUAUGGGAGGGGGGAGCUAUCUUCUGCUGUGUAGGAAGAUCUGAUGAAACAAAGGAACAAUUGUUUUCAUUUUACCAAAAACAUAUUUAGUGGAGUCGUACUAUUGAUUAAAAAUCAUCUACCAGAAGUGGAGUAUCCUCAAUACAAGUUGUUGCAACUCUGAAGAACAUAUUGCUAGUAUUUGUUGAGACUUGAGAAUAGCAUUACCCAUCUAGAAACCUGGCCAAAAUAUAGGUUUCAGUUUUCCAGCCAUAAUCCCGACAAAUGAGAUAAGGUGGGAAACAACUUUACAGGCAUUAACAUUAGAAUAAAAAUCAUCAGGAAGCUCCUAAAUGCUGCGUAAACAUAUAGCAAUUUUAUAAAGAAAAGGAAUACAUGACAUGAAAAUAAAAUACAAAUACUUUGCAGGUGAAUUCCUUAUUAUGAACCACAAAACGCAGCUCAUACAGCGGUAAAAAAAGAAGUAGGACUUGGAGGGAUUGGGAUUUCGACGGUCCCAUCCAACAUGAGGAGGACCAUUUUCAUUGAAGGGCGGAGGGAUGGCUCAUCAAGAGUGCACCAAAGUCCCACUUUAACCAUCCUAUCUAACUGUUUCUUUUCGACGACUUCUUCACCCACAAGUUUGUCCAUAUCACCGUCCUGAAAACAUUGAUAAACCCACUGUUCGAGAACAGCUUCAUCCUCUGGAAGACUCCAAUCCACAUUCUUUCGACAACACGUGAUCUCCAACAACAUAACUCCAAAGCUAUAAACAUCUGCUUUAACUGUCACCGGCAUAUUCCGGUGCCAUUCUGGUGCUACAUAUCCCCUUGUCCCUCUGAUUCCCGUGAAGGUUUUAGUUUGGUCUGACUUCAGAAACUUUGCCAAUCCAAAGUCAGAAACUUUGGGGCACCUGCUUUCAUCUAUUAGUAUAUUCUGAGGUUUUAUAUCACAGUGGAUGAUCUGAGUGUCGCACUCUUCAUGUAGAUAAACAAUACCCCUUGCAAUGUUGCGAGCAAUUUCCAACCUUUCAGGGAAGCAAGGUCGUUUUUCAAGUGAGAAGAGUAUGUCAGCAAGGGAGCCAUUGCUCAUGUACUCGUAUACCAGGAGCCUGUGAUGUUCAUCAUGGCAAUAGCCGAGCAGACGGACUAGGUUUCUGUGAUGUGUUUUCCCAAUGACUUUCAUCUCAUUCUGAAAUUCUCUUUCCCCUUCAGCUAGAGCUUUCUCCAGUCUCUUGACAGCAACAACCUUCCGAGUACUUGAUAUUAUCCCUUUAUAAACUGUCCCAAAUGAUCCCCUGCCAAUUUCUUCCUUGAAACCACCAGUAACAUCUUCUAGCUCUGCAUAAGUGAAAGCUCGAGGAGCAAAUUCCUCAUUCAAUGCACUACCAUCAUUUUUGGGAACCUUUUUAUAUGCCAAUACAUGAUAUCUGUAAAUGAUGAUUCCGAAAAUCGCCACCAUAGCAAGCCCAAAAGCAACAACUGAACAACUUAUUAUUACGAUUCUCCUGCCAGUGCCAAGGUUCUUCUUCUCUUUUCUGUCCAUGGAGGAUAUGGGUCUACCCACCUUGACGACAGCCAAGUUGGAACUUUCUAAGUUUCUCCUCCCAAAUCUCAAAGGAAGCCUUUGCUUUCUGCAGUACUGCCCAUCAGUGAAUAAUGCUGCUUCACAGUUACAGUCUUCCAAACAGGCUUGCUUACAAUUGUCUUUCAUUGUUAAAGACAAAACGGAGUAUGAAACAUCUUCCCAGAAUAUUAGACAGCUCUUCCAUGGUGUAUGUGCUACUUCCAUUCUUGUUUGCAACUUUCAGCAUGAAAUCCCUCUCACAGCCAGAAGUCCAAUUUCCCUGGGUAACAAACUUAAAUCCAGGAAGACAAAUACAUUCAGCUUCCUGAUCCUUCAACACAAUAUCCAUUAAGACCGCAUGAUCCUUUCGGGUGGCACUUUGCUUGUGGAUGACCACACAGCUGACCAGUUUCCAUUCCGUGUCAGAUUUUGUGAAUAUAAUCUGAAAAUCCCAUCAGCAUCAAGUUUCAUAUUAAUUGUUUCUUUCGUGGGAUAUCCUCCAGCUGUAAUGUUUUUAUGUUGAAACCUGUGGAAUUGAGCAGGUAGAGACGGCCAUCCGGAUCAAGAUUUAGGGUCACAUUAUCUCCCGCCCCAUUAGUAUCAGAUGCAAAAUAAGCAUAUGGAGCUGUAUCUGGAGUACUAACAGGAUACUGCACAAGGUGUCCAUCAUGUUGCAUCUUGAGUCGGUAAAUACCAGUUGAGAGGUCAGUUUCUGAAACAGGAGAAACCAGCUCUGCCCCUGCUCUGAGCUGUUGAGUUGGCAAAAGGGUAUCUGUUGGGUGGUCAAAACUCUGCCAUAUAAUCUCGUGAUCAGAAUUAUAUAGCACAAAGUUGCCUGAAUCAGACAUAGAAGCUAAAGAAGCUGGCUGGGAAGCAGAAACUAUCGGAGUCUCAUCCCCUUGUGCUGAUCUCAAGACAACCCUGCCAUCACUGGUGAAGAGCAAGGUCGCAUUACUGGGGACUGGGGCGUCAUCCCUUCUAGCAAAGAAAGAGAAGAUGCUUUACAAGAGGCACAGAAGCAAGUCCUUAAAGUCAACAGAAAGAAGGACAACAAAGCAAAGACCAUCAUCUAUCAAGGUCUUGAUGAAGAUACAUUCGAGAUAAUAGCUUCCGCUGAAACGUCACAUGAUAUAUGGGAGGCUCUCCAACAAAAAUACAAAGGUGCUGACAGAAUCAAGAAGAUUCGUCUUCAAUCUUUGAAAGGAGAAUUUGAAUUAUUACGAAUGAAGUCCUCAGAAUCUAUUUCUGAUUAUCAUACAAGGAUUAUGGUGAUAGUCAAUCAGAUGAGGAGAAAUGGAGAAGCCAUCAUAGAUACUCGAAUUAUUGAGAAAAUUUUGAGAUCCAUAGAUCCAAAAUUUGAUCAUGUUGUUGUCGCAAUUGAAGAGUCCAAGGAAGUGGACAAGUUGACAGUGGAUGAGCUUAUGAGUUCUUUGCAAGCUCAUGAGCAGAAGAUUGUAAUGCGAAAUGAAGAUAAGGCCAUUGAGCAUGCCUUACAAGCAAAGCUGUCUUUCAAGGACAGAUAUGAGCAAGGGGAGACUUCAACAAGUGGCUACACCACUCAAGGAGGAAGUCAACAAUCCAGAGGAGGAUUCCAGAGAUUCCAAGGAAGAGGUUCUUGGAAUACAAGCUUCAGAGGAAGAGGUGGUAGAAACACCACCAGAGGAGGCCAAGGCCAACAAGCAUUCACUCCCAGAGGAAGAGGAGGCGGUUACAAUAACCGUGACAAGAGGAAUAUCCAAUGUUAUAGUUGCAAUCAAUUUGGGCACUAUAGCACUGAAUGCCGAUGGAAAGCUCCGUUGGAGAUACGUGAGCAAGCCAACUAUGUAGAGAAGCAUGAUGGAGAAGCAUCUGCAUUUCUUGUCCAACAAGGACAUGGCGAGAAAAAGAGGAGAUAUGGUAUCUAGAUACUGGAGCCAGCAAUCACAUGUGCGGCUACCGAGAGUUAUUUGGUGAUCUAGAUGAGACCAAGCAAGGUCUAGUUACUUUUGGAGAUACCACAAAGGUUCCAUUCAAAGGUAAAGGCAACAUCCCAGUCAAGUUGAAGAAUGGCGAUUCCAGCUACAUCGCCGAUGUGUAUUAUGUCCCAGCCAUAAAGCAGAACCUGAUCAGCUUAGGUCAACUUUUGGAGAGAGGAUAUAUUUUUACUCGAAGAAUUGUCAUCUGCAAUUAGAGACAACAAUGGGAGAUUAAUGGCCUACGUGAAAAUGUCCAAGAAUAGGAUGUUUCCUUUGAACAUCCAGUAUGAUGCAACAAGGUGUUUGAGUGCCAUCACCAACAGUGAAGAAUGGCUUUGGCACCUGAGGCUUGGACAUCUGAAUUUCACAAGUUGAAGAUGCUAGCAAGCAAGAAGAUGGUCAAAGGUUUGCCUCACAUUGAUCAUCCAGAUGAAGUCUGUGAGAGUUGUGUCCUCAGCAAACAUCACAGAUCCAGUUUUGCCAAAGAAGUCAACUGGAGAGCAAAGAGGCCACUGGAGUUAGUACACACAGAUGUGUGUGGCCCAAUUACGCCUAUGUCGACUGGACAAAAUAGGUACUUCCUCACUUUUACUGAUGAUUUUAGUAGAAAGACGUGGAUAUACUUUCUGAAGAGGAAGUCAGAAGUAUUCAAUUGUUUUAAAGAUUUUAAAGCAAUUGUGGAGAAGCAAACUGGUUACACGAUCAGAACCGUAAGAUCUGAUCAAGGUGGAGAAUAUACAGCAAAUGACUUUGAAGCCUAUUGUACACAACAAGGCAUCAGACAUCAGACGACGCCAGCUUAUACACCACAGCUGAACGGUGUAGCAGAAAGGAAGAAUCGCACGAUUCUUGACAUGGCAGAAGUUGCUCAAAGCAAAGAAGCUGCCCAAGCAAUACUGGGCUGAAGCUGUAUCAUGUGCAGUGUAUCUGUUGAAUCGCUGCCCAACCAGAAGUUUGCAAGGAGUCACUCCAGAAGAAGCAUGGAGUGGUCACAAACCAAGUGUUACUCAUCUACGAGUCUUUGGUUGUGUGGCAUAUGCAAAGAUCCCAGAUGCAAGAAGGAGAAAGCUCGAUGAUAAGAGCGAGAAAUGCAUCUUUGUCGGAUAUGGUGAAAGAAGGAUGGGAUACAGACUGUAUAAUCCCAUCACGAAGAAGGUGAUUACGAGUAGAGAUGUUAUCUUUGAAGAAGAUAAAUCUUGGGCAUGGAAUGUGAUCAAGAAGCAGUCAAAUGGAUCAAUCUUGAUUUGAUCCUUGAAGGUGAAGAAGUACCAACAGUACUUGUAGAAGAACCGAUUGUGCCAGCAGCUGAACCACAAAGUCCAGUGUUUAUACCAGUAGCUGAACCACAAAGUCCGGUACACAGAUUCCCUGUAUUCAACAGGAGGAACACACCAGGAGCAUCAUCAUCAACACCACCAUCAGCAUCCUCGUCAGAAGGACCAAGAAAGAUGCGGAAUCUUGAAGAGUUGUACGAUACCACUCAGGUCAUGGAAGAUACAACUUUGUUUUGUUUCCAUGCAGAUAAGGACCCACCAGAAAAGAAGAAAGCAAAAGGUGUCAAAAGGGUCUACAAGACGAAAGCCAAAUUAGUGGAUAAAGGCUACAAGAGAGAAGGCAUUGAAAGAAGAAGUGUCCAUGCUUGGCAUGACAUCCCUCGAUUGAGUUUAAAGGGGAGAUUUGUUGAAUUAAACUCAACAUCUAGAUGGUCAAGGAAGGAAACCACCAGCUGCCACCGACCAGCCGUCAGCCACCAGCCGCCUUCACACCGCCGGUCAACAGCCGCCUUCACACCUGGAACAGUAGAUUUUUGUAUUCUGAAUUUAUGUAUAAAUAGGGUGCUCAGUUAUGUUAAAUUGUGUGGAGAGAAUUGAGAGAAACACUUGAAAGAGAAAGAGAGAGAGAGAGGGCGUGUAUUAAGCUUUUGUUUUGUGUUAAUUGUAAGCUUCGGUUUUGUGUAAUAAAACAGUGUGUUUUAUCCCCUCUGAGUGUCUCAAAGCCACCACCAGUGGUUUCUCCCACCAACAGCCCACACAACAGUCUUUAGUGAAAUCCCGGAUAGAAAAACCCCUAUAGAAUAGCCGUCGCGUUGUCGGAAAAAUCCGAAAGCAUAAAGACCAGAAGGUGACAACCAUAAGGAGUUUGUGAAAGGUGUUAGAGAAGAUCCGAGGGUUAUAUUGGUCUGUCUUUGAGCUGAAGCUGUAAAAGAUAAGGCGAGAAGAAGAAAAAAGAUGAUAGAAGCCAUGGAUAGGGAUUUAGCUCUUGUCUGGUAUGGGAGUGUCAAUAUAAGGAUGUCUAAUGUUCCAGCACUCCAGUCUCUUUCUUUGGGUUCCAGCAGUCAAGCCAGGCACUCAGAACAUGAAAGUCUAGCCAUAAAAUCCACGCUUGCUUGUAUGCUUUCAAAGUCAAUGCAGUUGCGACGCCCCAUUUGAACAGCCAUUUGCUAAUUUCCCCUGGACUGUUCUUGGUUCUAAUUUUCUGCAGCAGAUUCUUUUUUAUUUGUCAAGUACCAUCAAUAUGCUUUUGAUAACAUAUUGAUGGUAUGGUUUUUUCUAUGGUUUUUUCAAUGGACCGUUGAUUCUAUGGUUUUUUUCCACACGUAUUUUGCAGGAACAGAAAUUGGACGUAUGAGUAAAGUAAUGUAUCUCUUGUCCUUGGCUGUAGCCAGUCUUUCUUUGAGCGUGUUUGGAAUUAAGAUAGUAAUAAUGGUUUAAAAUGUUUUUUAUUUAAAAAUAUAUUAAAAUAAAAAUUUGUUAUUUUAAAAAAAAUUAUUUUUAAUUUUAAUAUAUUAAAAUAAUUUAAAAAUAUAAACAAAAUUUAAAAUUUAAAAUAACAGAAAUGUGUUCGAUUGACGGAUUGAGGGUGCCCCUGUAUGACUUUAUUCAGAGUAUAAUUAAGGUGGUCACAACAGGGACUGUUCUCAGCAAAAAUGUCUUCUCUGACUAGCUUCAAAGCCAUGGGUGCGCUUUGAGGGGCUUUAUAAUUUAUUUAUUAAAAAUGUAUUAUGAAAAAGUAAAUAUGUAAAUCUUCAUGGGAGAUCUCUAAUAGAUGAAUUCUACAUUUUUUUUUGCCCGUAAGUUUUUUCUAACUUUAAAAAAUAUAAAGUCCAUGCAGUUAUAACUUAAAUCAACCUGGAUUAAUUUAACUAAUAUACAAAGCUCAAGGUGCAAUUAUUUAAUAUUAAAAAUUAAAAUUAUAUAAAUAAAAAAUAUUAAAUAAAAAAAUUUAAGUCAACUCAUCACCCGCAAUACAAGACUAGAACUAAAAAAUAAUUAAAAAAAAACUUAAAAAAACUCAUGAGCACUGUAUAUUGAAAUUGAAAAUGCUGUUGAAAGUUAUAUUUAUUGAAAUUAAAGGUUUUUUCAUAUUUUCAUAAAGGUUUACAUCAUUGUUUUACUUUUUUUAAAAAAAUUAUUAUUUGACAUUGUUUUUUUUUUAAAAAGGCUUUGUAGUUUUUAAUUUUUAUUUCAAUUGUAGUGUCUCGAUCUUAUAAUUUAAAUUAUAAAUUUACUGGGUUAAUUCAAGUUGACUCGAUCCUUUUUCUAGAUUCACUUUUCUAUGAAAGGAAUUUUACUCUCUUUUUUAACAUUAUUUUUUUAAAAAAAUAAAAUUAGUUCAUCCCUGUGGCGCAGAGCAGGUGCACAUCUAGUCUCUCUGCUAAAUGUUUUGCAAUCUGAUUUGCUUCUCUAAAUACAUGACUGAAACUGACUAAUAUAUAAUUAAACAAACUCUAGAGAAUCCCAUACAUACCUAAUCGUUUGAACGCGAAAUUGAUGCAUUUGGAUGUAAAGUGAAAACCGUAAAUUAGGACUCCUAAAUUUCUAGUUUUUAGGGUUCAGAUUUCUAUCAGUCAUGAAGAGAGAGAUUUUGAUUUUUUUUUGAGAGAUAAAGGAGGACAAGAGAAAGUAUUGAAUGUGAGUGUUACCAGUCAUUUCUUAUAUAUUAUAUAUAUGAGGGUAAUUUUUUUUUUUGAUUAUUUUAAAGAUUUUUUAUUAUAAUUUCUCAAAGUAUUUUUUAUAAUGGGGAAAUGAAAACACGAUCAAAGCACAAGAAUGAUAAAUAUCCGUUCUCAUCUUGCGGGGGGAUAUUGGAACCUAGCGCAUACUCACACAAAACAUAAAGAAGCUAAGGAUGCAGACAAUUCUUCAUUGCUUGCGGAGCAAGUAACCCCUGCAGCCGACUCCCCUACACCAAAAGACUAACGAAGACUAGCCAAGUUAUCAUAACACAUUGUAAAUUGUGGAUAUAAUAAAGUUAGUUAUAUACUGUUAAAGUUAGUUAGAAUAUGUGUAUAUAUAUGUAUUCAUGUAUACUGCAAAAGAGACAAAUAAUAAGAGAAGAAAUACUGCAUAUUGAUUGCAGACUUUCCAAACGUAUCUUCCUUCUUCUUCUCUCAUAAGAAAUUUUAUUCUCUUCUUCUUUCUCUACUUCUACAGGAAAGAAUAAAUUCUGCUAUAACAAAAUUAUUAUGGUAUCAGAGCAAGAUUUCUUCUAAAUCUCUGAAAAUAUAUACUCUUCUUUAUUUUUUUUCAGAAAGAUUCAAGAUCUUUGUAGUUGGAUAUUUUUCUGUCAUCAACUUCUUGAUUCCUUCAAAACUUCAAAAUGUCUGAUCAUCUUGAAGAAAGUGCUUCUACAGCACAUAAAGAUUCAUCCAAUAUCACUACUCUGAAUCUUUCUGAUGAUUCUUCCAGCUGCUACUACCUCCAUCCUUCUGAUAAUCCUGGCGCACUUCUAGUUUCUGAAAUCUUCACUGGCGAAAAUUAUAUUGCAUGGAGCAGAUCCAUGACAAUUGCCUUAACAGUGAAAAACAAGAUUGCCUUCAUUGAUGGAUCUUUAGUUCAACCAAACACCACCAAUCAAUCACUUUGUGUGGCAUGGCUGAGAUCAAACAAUCUGGUUCUAUAAUGGCCGAUGAAUUCAAUUGCCAAAGAAAUUAGCAACAACCUUCUUUACUUCACAACAACAUUCGAUAUCUGGGAAGAAUUACGAAUGAGAUAUCUUAGAAGUGAUGGACCAAGGGUUUUUAGUUUAGAAAAAUCUUUGAGUUCUAUUUCCUAGAAUUCAAAAUCUAUCACUGAAUAUUUCAGUGAAUUCAAGGCACUAUGGGAUGAAUACAUCAGUUAUCGCCCAAUCCCAAGCUGCAAAUGUGGAAAUCUUGAUUCCUGCUCAUGCAACAUUUUUAAACAUCUAACAGAUCGACAACAAUCCGACUUUGUUAUGAAAUUUUUGGUUGGCCUUCAUGAUUCUUACUUAGCAGUUAGAAGCCAACUAUUGCUCCAAACUCCUUUGCUAUCUAUGGGCAGAGUCUUUUCCCUACUUCUUCAAAAAUAGAGUCAGAGAUCCCUAACAAAUGCAGCAGGCAUUCCAAUUGAUUGCCAAGCAAUGAUUGCUGAACACUACCACAAUCAAAAUUCCAAAUCAGGUUCAACAUAUACUACACGCUUUGCUAAACAAAAAGGAAAAACUGAGGCAACCUGCUCCCACUGUGGAUAUCCUGGACAUACUAUUGAUAAAUGUUUCUAACUUAUUGGAUACCCUCUUGGGUGGAAAGGAUCAAGAGGAAAAAGAUUUGCUACUAUGCCACAGACCAGCAAAAACUUUCAACGAUUACCCACUGCACAUCAUACUACUAUCUUGCAACCACAUCUUGACACCCCUAACAUUGUUUUCUCUCAAGAACAGAUGCAAAAUCUACUCACUCUAGCAAAUAGCAUUUCCAGCUCAAAGAUAAAUAACACUACUAAAGAAGUAUCUACAUCAGGUAUAUCUUUUUCAUGUCAUACAUCAUCUUCACCUCAAAAUAGAUUUUCAUGGAUUCUUGAUACUGGAGCCACAUAUCACAUGAUUUGUAGUCCUCUUCUUUUUUAAUCCAUCAUUCUCCCUAAAACUCAGUCUAAAACUCAGUCUAAAGUUCAUCUGCCAAAUGGUCAACAUGUACCAAUUCUCUUCACUGGAACGGUUAAAUUUUCUCCUGACAUCAUUUUAUACAAUGCACUUUAUGUUCCAGCUUUUAAUAUCAAUCUAAUUUCUGUUUCUAAAUUAACUGCCGCUAACACUGUUGGCUUAUUUUUUCUUCACACAAAAUGUAUUCUGCAGGAUCUAAGCAAAUGGAAGAUGAUUGGUCUUGCUGAAGCUGAAUCUGGUCUCUACAAUCUUCACAAACCCCCUGAUCAAAAUACUAAAGAAUCACCUCCUAGAUCAAACAUCAAAUCCUGUGUUGUUGCGACAAAUCUCUAGCAUUUACGUUUAGGCCACAUCCCUCCCUCCAAAAUCACCCUUUUGAACAAAACUGAUCCUUCAGUCACUAUCAGCAACAAUACCAUUUGUGAUAUUUGCCCCCUAGCUAAACAAAAACGGUUGCCCUUUUCUUUAUCUAUUCAUAAAUCUACAACAGCUUUUCAAUUAGUUCACAUUGACAUUUGGGGACCAUUCUCUGUUACCUUUUAUUCUGGUUAUCAAUUUUUUCUUACUAUUGUAGAUGAUUACAGUAGAUUUACUUGGUUAUUUUUAAUGAAAUCUAAAUCUGAAACAAGACAUCUUCUCAGCAAUUUUCUAGCCUAUGUUCAUACUCAAUUUAACACCAACAUUCAAACUCUCAGAUCCGACAAUGGCCAAGAAUUUAAUAUGCCUACUUUCUACCAAACGCAUGGCAUCAUACAUCAAUUAACAUGUGUUGAAACACCUUAACAGAAUGGAAGGGUUGAAAGAAAACAUCAACACCUGCUCAAUUUAGCUCGAUCUCUUCUGUUUCAAUCCCAACUACCUUUAUCUUAUUGGACAAAUUGCAUACUCACAGCCACACACCUCAUUAAUCGUACCCCCUCCCUCAUUCUCCAAAAUCAGACACCUUACCAAGUUCUUUAUCACAAACCACCAUAUUACAAUUACUUAAGAGUAUUCGGCUGUUUAUGUUUUGCUAGCACAAUCACACAUAAUAGAGGUAAAUUUCAUCCCAGAGCCACGAAAUGUAUUUUUCUUGGAUACCCUCCACACAUUAAAGGAUACAAAGUUCUUGACUUAACCAUUUGCAAAACCUUUGUAUCUCGAAAUGUUGUUUUUCAUGAAUCCACCUUUCCAUCUAUUCCAAACAAAGUUCAUACACCCCUUGUGUUCCCUGACUAUCCUCAAAAUUUUGACCCUUUUCCUUGUCUCCCAUCAAACACAACUCUACAUGAUUCUGUUGUUCCUGCAAAACUUCCUAUACAACCUCCUGUUCCUCACAUUUCUCCCCUACCUCCUCCUCCUCUUCCCCAACUUAGAAAAUCUGAAAGAAAUAAACAUCCACCUACUUACUUAACACAGUAUUAUUGUGGACAUAUGGCUCAGAUUGCUUCAGCAACUCCAGACUCUCCACCUUGCUCCCUGCCUGGUAAGCCCUACUCUAUCUUUUCUUUCUUGUCUACCUCCCAAUUAUCUUUACCCCACUGUGCUUUCACUUCUUCUGUUUCAUCUGUUUAUGAACCGAAAACUUACAAACAAGCUAGCUCUAUCCCUCAUUGGCAACAUGCUAUGACCAAUGAAAUCAAAGCUCUUGAGAAAAACAAAACUUGGGACUUAGUCAUUCUGCCACCAAAUAAAACUGUCAUUGGAUGUAAAUGGGUCUACAAAGUUAAAUUUCAGGCUGAUGGACAGGUUGAAAGAUAUAAAGCACGAUUGGUAGCAAAAGAAUACACACAACAAGAGGGAAUUGAUUUUUUUGACACUUUCUCUCCUGUUGCAAAAAUCACAACAGUACGAGUUCUUCUCACCAUUGUUGCAGCCAACAAUUGGCAUUUACAUCAACUUGAUGUAGACAAUGCCUUCCUACAUGGUGACUUAUAUGAGGAAGUAUAUAUGCAAUUACCACCUGGCUACUCCAAUCACAAUGACCCUCGAAUCUGCAAGCUCAAAAAGAGCAUCUAUGGUCUUAAACAGGCUUCUAGACAAUGGUUUUCCAAACUCUCUGCAUCUCUACUUCACUUUGGUUUUCUACAAGCCAAAUCAGAUUCUAGCCAUUUCAUCAAGCAAUCUCACACAGCCCUCAUUGACAUUUUAAUCUAUGUUGAUGAUGUUCUCAUCGCCUCCAAUGAUCUUACAGCACUGACUAUAGUAAAAAACUACCUUCGCACAAUUUUCCCUAUCAAAGAUUUGGGAAACCUUAAAUACUUUCUCGGUAUUGAGGCAGCUCGAUCUACCAAAGGCAUUGUUCUUUUCCAAAGAAAAUAUGCCUUGGACAUACUUACAGACAGUGGUUUUUCUGGCGCUAAACUUGUCAAUUUUCCAAUGGAAUCCACACUCAAACUCAGCACACAUGAUACUAGCCCUCCCUUGACUAAUCCUGCAUCUUAUCGUAGACUUAUUAGCAAGCUUCUCUAUCUUACACUCACAAGACCAGACUUAUCCUAUGCCAUCCAAACUCUCAGCCAAUUCAUGUCAAACCCUCACACCCUAUAUAUGCAAGCAGCAGAGAGAGUUCUUCGGUAUCUCAAAGCCACACCAGGAAAAGGCUUACUUCUCAAAGCUGCUUCUCCUCUUCAUUUAAAAGCUUAUUCUAACAGUGAUUGGGGAGGUUGCAUUGACACUCGUCGACGUGUUACUGGCUACCUAGUCUUUCUUGGAGAUUCAUUAAUAUCCUGGAAAUCAAAGAAACAACCUACUGUAAGUAGGUCCUCUGCAGAAGCUGAAUAUCGGGCAUUGGCAACUACUUCAUGUGAACUACAAUGGCUUACUUAUUUACUAGCCGAUUUCCACAUCCCUCACUCUCAACCUGCCUUACUCUACACUAACAGCAAACCAGCCUCCGAAAUAGCUUACAACCCUGUUCAUCAUGAACGCACCAAACAUAUCCAACUUGACUGUCAUCUUGUACGUGAAAAAAUGCAAGAAGGACUCCUUACCAUCAUUCACAUUCCUUCCAAAUUUCAAUUAGUUGAUGCCCUCACUAAACCACUUGGUUAUCACAUGCUUAAUCCUCUCCUUGACAAGAUGGGAAUGAUAAAUAUCCAUUCUCAUCUUGCGGGGGGAUAUUGGAACCUAGCGCAUACUCACACAAAACAUAAAGAAGCUAAGGAUGCAAACAAUUCUUCACUGCUUGCGGAGCAAGCAACCCCUGCAGCCUACUCCCCUACACCAGAAGACUAACGAAGACUAGCCAAGUUAUCAUAACACAUUGUAAAUUGUGGAUAUAAUAAAGUUAGUUAUAUACUGUUAAACUUAGUUAAACGUUUGUUAACGUUUUAUUAACAGAAGCUAGUUAGAAUAUGUGUGUAUAUAUGUAUUCAUGUAUACUGCAAAAGAGACAAAUAAUAAGAGAAGAAAUACUGCAUAUUGAUUGCAGACUUUCCAAACGUAUCUUCCUUCUUCUUCUCUCAUAAGAAAUUUUAUUCUCUUCUUCUUUCUCUGCUUCUAUAGGAAAGAAUAAAUUCUGCUAUAACAAAAUUAUCAUAAUUAGAGAAAAACAAUUUACUAUAUUUCAUAUGUCACAAAUAUUUUUCAUAAAAUAAAUACAACUUAACUUUGAUAAAUGAUACCUCUAGAAAUGUGGAAUCCAUUUAUAAUUGAAUUAAAAUUAUAUUGAAAUGCUUCUUAUCAGAACAGAAAAAAAAAACAUAUUGAAAUGGGCCUACCAAAUACAGCAUUAAAUAUUUUAAUUACCAUAAAAUUGACAACUAGCAAUGAAAUUAACAACAAAAAAUAUUUUCAUUGGUAAUAUCCGAUGAAAAUAGCAAUGAAACAUAUCCAUUAAAUAUUAAAAAAUUAAAUAGCAAUGGAAUAUGUGCAAUCAAUAAUUAUCAAUGAAAUUGGCAAUGAAAUAAAAAUAAUUAGAAAAAAUAAAUAAAUAUUAUGUCAGCAAUUCCAUCGAUAAUAUGACACAUCAUUAUUUACAAAAUGUUUCAUUGGUAUUCACCGAUGAAAAUAUUUCAUCAGUAGUUUUCAUUGGAAGUUUUGUCGAUAAAUUUACAAGUGUUACAACCAACAACAACCCGCCCUAUCCAUUUCUUCUUCUUAUUUAAUAUCAGAAAAUAGGUACCCUCCUUGUUAUGUCACAAAUCUAGGCCUUGUAUUUAUAAAUUUGACCACCCCAACAUUCAAUAGUGUCAGUAUUAUUAUCUCGGUUCAAUUUUUUCUAAAUACUCACUACACCAAGUAAGCAAACCUACAUAUUUAUGUUUUAGGUUAAUUUAUUGAUAUUUUUGUAAUAUUUUGUAAUUUAAUUGUAUAUUUAAGUGUUUUACAUCUGUUUUUCCUUAAGAAUUUUGUUGUAUUAAAGAAUGAUUUGUAUGUUAGGAUUUGUUUGGGAUUUGAAGAAAAUUGAAUUUGUUUUUCAUUUGAUGAAUUUAAGUUUGAUUUUGUAAUUUAUGUUUGUUAUAUCAGAAGAAAUGAUAAGUUAUUUAAUAGAUAUAAUUAUAUUUUGUCGAUUUUAUUAAGUUUGGAAAUUUUACUAGGUGUGUUAUGCAACCCAAGAUUAAAGACGCGUUGUAGUGUUUUGAUCAUAAACAUUUCAUAAUCCAACAUAAAACAACCAUCACUUGUCAUUUAGGAGUUAGAUUCAAGAACAAAUUAUUGUUGCAAAGGCUAAACUUGAGGUAGAGUAUGAAGAAUGAAGUAGAAAGCAAUGAAAGUAAAUGAUAAUAUACAUGUAGACUUAUUAUUCUCCCACUGGAAAUAUUCAUCCCCCUCCACCUCUACCUUCAUAUGCAGCUCCAACUUUAGUUAGUUAGGAGUUUAUCUAAUAUAUUAAGAUAUUUAUAAUUGAUUUUAUAAUUAAAUUAAUGAAAUAAAAUGUGUUCUUUAAUUUAAUAUAAUUAAAUAUUAAUUUGUUUAAUCUAAAUAAACAUUUAUUAAAAAAAAUAAACAACAAACAUAGAAAUUAAGUUGAUGAUUUUGUCAAUUACAUCAGUCUAUUUGUAUCUAAAAAUUACAUAAAAAUUGUUUAAUUUUUUGGCAUCAUUGAUACAAUCACUGCCAUAAUUUUUAUGUUCACGAUCCGUCAUCGAUACAUGAUCAAUUACCGACUGGUAUUCUGUCGUUUAUCGUUUAUGCCUUGGAACUGUACCUGUGUGUAGGUAUGGACAAUUGCUUUUUAGGCAAGAAACUGCGUUGUGGGAUAGGAGAAGAAGGGGCAGAAACAAGCAAAGAUCAUUCUCUCAUCCUAUUCUUCAUGAAGAGCUCUCACUCUUGAGAUUACAUCAGACCAACAAAAGUUGUUUUUACUCAUCCUAAUAAGAUCAUCACAGAGAAGAUUGGCAAGGAACUUCUAAGUACUGGUGUUGUUUUGAUUUCCUUUUCUUUGGUGGUCUUUGCAUCAUCUGACUUGAUGGUCAUGAUGACACGCCAAGCUUCUCCACCAGAUGUCACUGAAGGUAUUAAGAUCUGCACCUUUUAGCUACGAUCAACUCGCGGUGGCCACGAUGAUUCAAGGAAGAGAUCGGUAAAGGGGCAUCAGGAGGCUCUGUAGAGGCUCGUUAGCAAAGAAUGACGGGAAAGAAAUAGCAGUGGAGAGUCUAGAGAAGGUGGUGGAAGAUGGAGAAGGGGAGUUCCGAAACGGGGUGAAGAUAAUGGAGAGGACUACAAUAACUUGGUACGUUUGAUUGGCUUUUGCAGUGAAGGAUCAAAUAGGCUUCUUGUGCAUGAGUUCAAGAUCAUUCAUUGUAACAUAUUUUCUUCUCUAGAGUUUAUAAUAAAUAAAUUAUUUGUAAGAAAACGAAGUUCAGUUGCAUUGUUGAUGGUGUUCCAAAAUUUACUAUGUUUAGAAAUGAGAAUUUUAAGUGUUUAAAUGAAUGAUGAUUAUACAUUCACUUCUAUAUUUUCUUGUUCACAAUUCAUAAAAUUGAUUGUUGGUGAUAAAAGACUUGACACUUAUAAAAUAGUUUUUUUUUUGUGGGGCUUAGGGGGCAUCUGAAUGAUAAAGUUAAUGACUUUUUAUAUGAGAUUAUAAUAAAUUAAGAAAAUAAGCUUUAAAUAAAAAAAUAAAUAAAAAUGUUUGUUCUUAUUUAUGUAUGAUAAAACACCUUGAAAAUAAGAAUAUAAACACUUUAAAGAAUAGAAAAAGUGUGAACCUUUUACUUGAAUGGUUCAGAGAAAUUUAUAAUGCCUGAACUUUGUUGUUUUUUUUAAGGGGUGGAUAGUCACUUCCUUUUGAAAAUGUAAAUGAGAAAAAACAUCUUACACAACAUUAAUUUUAAUGGAAAUAACCCUUACAUUAAUAUUGAUUGGAAUACGUAGGACUUGUAAGAGAUUUUUAUAUAUUAUUUUGUAUGUAACAUUAAUGUUGAUGGGAAUUGUCUUUAAUCAACAUUAAUUUUGAUUAGAAUAUGACAGGUUUUUGAAAGAUUUUUAUACACCUAAGAAUAUGACUAUCAUAGACUCUUAAUAUUUUAUGUUAAGAAUUAUAAAAUAGCUUUAUGACUCAAUAUAGGGCUUAUAAAAACUUUUAACCCCAUAUGUAUUUGCACCUAGAUUGAUUUUAAACUCAAGGGUUUUGAGUCAAAUAUUUUGUCAGACCCAUAGGAACUUGAGCUUUAGCGUCAGACCUAUAUUCACUCAGGCUUAACGCGUAGCUGAGUCCAAUGGUAUUUGGUCUGGAAUCUCGUCAAACUCACAUGUACUUGAGCUCAACACAUAAUUAAACUCAAGGGUGUUGGGUCAAGAAGCAAGCCAGACUCACAUCAUCUAGGUUAACACCUUGCUUUUGACCUUUUUUAUGAUUGGCUUCUUAAGCAAACAAAUUGUGUAUAAAAUAUACUAAUCUAGUAGUGGCCCCGUAAGGGUAUUUCUUCCAUCUUGCUUUUGAGUUAAGGUAUUCCAUCCAUUUUCAAGGAUUUAUGAGAGACAUCUUUAGGUAUUAUAAAUUGGGUUUAAGCCAAUUGCACCCCAAAUGAUGGGUGAUUUUAGGGGCGAGUAAAAAAAUUAAAAAACCAAUUAAACCAAGAAAACAAAAAAAAUAACAAAAAAAACUGAACGGUGAAAAAAACCAAAUUAAACUGAUUAGAAUGUUUAAAAAAAUUGACCGGUUUAGUUUUGGUUUCAUAAGCCUAUAUAUAUAUAAAUUGUGUCCAGCUUGCUAUGUGUGGAGUCAGUUGCACAACUCUUGGGUCCUAUGUCAAGAAUUGUGACUUAGGGCGUUUCUUUCUUUGCCAAAAGCUUCUGGCAGCCAAACCCAUAACACUUCCAAAACAUACCAAUAACCUUGGGUCUUGCUACCCAACAUGGCCUAAUAGUGUUGUGAAAGGCAUAGCCAAACCCAAAACACUUCAAAAAAGAACUGGGUUUGGUUGACCAGCCAAACCCAACAAUCUUAGGUCUGGCUCGGCAGCUAAACCCAACACCUUUUUGAAGUGUUUUGGGUAUAGCUCCACACUAUUGGGUCCUGUAGUAGGACCCAAUGCUAUUGGCACCUUCUUGGGUCUAAUUGGGUAGCCUGACCCAAUAUCUUUAGGUCCGGCUGUACAACCAUACCCAAAAUAGUUUUGGGUUCGACUGUUUAACAGGACACAAUAGGUUUGGGGACCAAAUAACACUAGGUCCAAACCAAAUUUUCUUGAGUCCAGUGUCCGGACGGUGUUGCACCUGAUACUAAUGGGUUCUGCGUCGCGACCCAAUUCUCUAGUGUCCAUGUUAGGACCCAUGGUUCAAGUAUCCGGCUUUAGGACCCGAUUGUAUUUUGUCCGCGUCAGGAGCCAAGUGUAAUGGGUCCUACUUUUGGACCUAAUUAUAUUGGUAUCGCAUGUGUGCGGUGUCGCGGCGAACUGGUUUCACUUUAAAUCUAAAAGUAAAUCUAUCAAGCAAAUAUGGGGAGACAAGAAAUUUUUGUCGCUUAUCGGUGGAAAAUGGAAUGUGAGUCGCCACCUAGUAUUUUGAUCACUAGGAACCCUAACUGGUCUCAGAGAUCGGGUACGGGACUGAUUGCGUAAAUGGAAGGUAUUAGUACCCCAAAUACGCUUUACCCAAGGUAAGCUGCAUUGUUUGAUUGUCUGAUAAAAGCUAAGGUGUUAUUGUAUUUCUAGUUGUUGGUCUGUCUAUGGUUCAAGAAAAAUCCUCCUCAAUAAAGAGGUCCUUAUCUUAUCGGGUAAAAACUUAAAUGUUCUAACGUCUAUAUGAAAACUAUAUUUUUAAUAUCAGGAAUGCGUUUUACGUAUAAAUUCGUAAUCCUAGAUACUAAAAGAAGACAAAAGGAUUUUUUUUGAAUUUUUGAAAUAUUGGCCUAGUUCUCAUGACUCUAACAAACUUGUUGUUAAAGCCAAAGUGCAUGCUAAUACAUAUAUAUUUUUUUGAAAUUUUUCCCUGUUGUAUGCAAAUAUAAUGUGAUGAUUUUUUAUAUAUAUUUUGGAGAGACUAGGCCGUAUGCAUGAAAACAAAACACUUUUUUAUUUUAUUAUAUAUUUUUUAUGCCUUGAUGAAAACCGGGUAUUUUAAUACUAGAUUUUUAUCUUUACGGUAUAAAAAUACAAACCAAUAUUAAGCAAUAAAAAUAUGCAGGAAAAUCAACAAUUUUUUUAAGGAUUUUUCAGAAUUUUGAAUAUAAAACAUUUUAUAUUUUAUAUUUUUUGAUGUAUUGAUGAAAACCAUGUAUUUUAAUACUAGAUUUGUAUCUUUACAGUAUAAAAAUAAAAACCAAUAUUGAUCAAAAUGCAGUAACAAUAUUGCGGAAAAUCACAAAUUUUUUGAAAUAAUUUUUGAAGAAUUUUGUUUUUUUUAUGGGUCGGGUCCAAUUCGGCCCAUGUGGCUGGGGCGGAACCAAUAGGCCUAACUAGGCUGGACCCGGCCCAAAAGAAGACCGGGCUGAAAUCAGCCUAAAAUAAAAUGGGCCUACCUUCUAUAGGGUUGGACUCAGCCCAGCCGUAGGGCUGGGCUUAUGUUCCAGCCCGAAACAAAUGUGGAGCACAGUCCAGUUAAUUAAUUAGCACAGUAACCAGCUAAUUAUUUUUCUUGCAAGAAGAUGAACAGUAAGAGGGUUGAGGGGAAGAGUUACCAAGGGUGAUGAGCUUGGACGGAGGAGCUCUUCCUCUUCUCUGCUGUUUUUGACGUUGCUUCUUCUCUUGGUUUCCUUUGUUCCCUCUGUUAACGAUAUUCUUCCUUCUCUGCAGCGGCUUCGUGGAGGUGCUGGUGGUGGCGACCUGGGGAGGGGCUGAGAAGGUGGUUUGGCGAUGUUGUUGCUGCAGUUUUUUUUUCCUUCGUAGAGGCGCAGGUUCCUGUUUUUUCUUCAAUGGUGUUGUAGCGUGUGGGAGGAAGAUGAUGAGCUGAGGAAGGAUGACGAUGGCGUGGGCAGUGCUGUUGUGUUUGUGUUCCUGGUGGCGUUGUUGUCGGGGUAUCCGGCUGUGGUCGCUCUUCCUCCUCUCUUCUGUCGUUACUUCUCUCUGUUUAUGUCACCUUGUUUCUCUGCUUCUUCUUCGCUAGCUCUAAAAGGAAGGCAGGCGGUUGUAGUGUGGUUUCAAACGGUGGAGAGAGAGAGAGAGCAGAGAGAGAGGUUACCGUUCUUCUCUUCCCCUCUAUUUUCCUUCUUUCUCUUCUGCCAUGUUUCUCACCUCUCUAUCGUCUUUCGUUAAAAAAAAAACUCUCCCCCUUUCUCUCUUGUUUUUUUUUCCGUCUCUUGUUCAAAAAACAAAAUUGACCCUUCUGUCUCACAAAAAACCUCCCUCCUCUGUUUUGGUUUCUCUCUUCUCUACACUCUCACAGUACCUCUUCUCGUUUCAAACUUCCCUAUCCUUUCAGUUUCCAAAAGCCCUGCCCCUCAUUCUGGUGUUGGGCGCAAUAUUUAUAGAGCAAAGAAAAAGCGUCUUGCUGUCGCGCAUGGGAAGCAGGAGACACCGGGUGAGGUCUCCAACAGGCGUGGCUUUGCAGGGCACGUCUACACUGUUUUCUAGCCAUGGAAUUUUAGGUUUAUGCAGCAGCAUGCAGGGAGAGAGAAGUUUCUCAAAAUGACACUAUUUUUUUUUUUUUGAUAGGGUAUUGAAAAAUGAGUUACAACAAUUGGGAUAUAUGUCAGGAUUCAAUUCUCUUGGGUCCUACAUAGUUUAAGAUUAAUGAAUUUUAGAUUUUUAAAUAUUAUUAUUUAUGUUAUAAAUAUUAUUAUUUUUAUUAUAAUUAAAAAUAUUAAUAUAAAAAUAUUGUUUUUUGUGCUAUAAAUAUUAUUAUUUUUAUUAUAAUUAAUUUUAUUAAUAAAAUAAUUAAUAAAUUUUAAAAAAAAUUAUUAUUAAUAUUGAAAAUCAACCAUAGAUUUGAUUUGAAAUGUAAAAUUGAAAAUUUUUAUUGUUAUCAUUAAUAAAAAAAAAUUAAAAAAAUUAUUAUUACUAUUGAAGAAAACCCAUAAUUUUUCAAAAAGAUUAACAAAUAUAAGAAUUUAGACAGACAAGUUAAAUAUUAUUACUUAUAUUAUAAAUAUUAUUGUUGGGUUUGUCAUUACAGUCAGACUCGACUCCUUUAAUUUUUCUGUUUCAACCAGACCCAAAGCUUUUGAGCCAUAUAUUUUUUUCAUAUUUUUUAUUAAAAUAAAACGUUGGCUGCAAUAUAGUGCAGGCCACCUAACUAAUAAUGGACUCCAAAUAAAUUAAUUCUGCUUCAAGGAAAACAAACAUAUUAAAAUCAUAAAAACAUUUUACUAUAAAAUAUUAUACAGAAUAAACGUAACUUACUCUAAAUUUCCUCAAACAAUCUUGCAUUGCAAGAUUAAAUGGGCAGUAACAACGCCAGGAAAGCUUUCUUGUGGAUUUAAACACAUUUUUCUAUUCCUCUUAAUUAUGGGAGGGGGGAGCUAUCUUCUGCUGUGUAGGAAGAUCUGAUGAAACAAAGGAACAAUUGUUUUCAUUUUACCAAAAACAUAUUUAGUGGAAGACAACCCUGCCAUCACUGGUGAAGAGCAAGGUCGCAUUACUGGGGACUGGGGCGUCAUCCCUUCUAGCAGCCCACACAACAGUCUUUAGUGAAAUCCCGGAUAGAAAAACCCCAAUAGAAUAGCCGUCGCGUUGUCGGAAAAAUCCGAAAGCAUGAAGACCAGAAGGUGACAACCAUAAGGAGUUUGGGUUAGGUGUUAGAGAAGAUCCGAGGGUUAUAUUGGUCUGUCUUUGAGCUGAAGCUGUAAAAGAUAAGGCGAGAAGAAGAAAAAAGAUGAUAGAAGCCAUGGAUAGGGAUUUAGCUCUUGUGUGGUAUGUGAGUGUCAAAAUAAGGAUGUCUAUUGUUCCAGCACUCCAUUAUCUUUCUGUGGUUUCCAGCAGUCAAGCCAGGCACUCAAAACAUAAAAGUCUAGCCAUAGAAUCCACCGCGUUUCCCUACCAAUUGGUGGAAAUUGUUGCUCUUACUUUUAUGCUUUCAAAGUCAAUGCAGUCAACUCACCGAAAAAACUUGGCAAUUACUUGGCGCUGGUCCCCCUUUUCGAUCUUGGUAUCCCCCAUUUGAUCAGCCAUUUGCUAAUUUCCCCUGGACUGUUCUUGGUUCUAAUUUUCUGCAGCAGAUUCUUUUUUAUUUGUCAAGUACCAUCAAUAUGCUUUUGAUAACACAAUCUUGAGCUUCCUGCAGACAGCUUCAACUACUUGAGAGAUGCCAAUUGUGGUGCUAAUGCUAAUACCCCGCCAUAAUACUAGGGCAAGGCAGAACAAAUGGAUUAUAUUCAUGUCCUUCGAUGCAAAAGGCUAGAUAGCAACGUCACUUUCUAACAAAAGAUCAUGUUAUAAUUAACCCUUAUGGACAACUUAAUUAGUUUAUGGACAACUUAAUUAGUCCUUUCUUGAGUUUUUUUUUCAAUAAUCAUGAGUUUGAGUUCUUUCAGAAUCAUUAAAAGUUUACAUGAUCAUUAAAUUAAGAAUAUGUGGGAUUAGUCGAGAUGAGCACAAGUUAAUCCGGACAUCAACGUUAACAAUAAAAAAAAAAAAUCAUGUUAUAAUUUAUAUGUGAAAAGUAGGGAUUUUGAAUUCGGGUAAUCUCAACAAGGUUGUACUUUUCUUUCUCCAGGUCAACUUGGAUCUUCCUCUGUUCUCAUGUUUAGCUUCCUGCAAGAACAUUCCUUCCGAGGCACAUUUUUCCUGAAAUUAUACUAUAUAUGGGAACUUUCAAGUUUUGUUUGAAAUAAAACUUUUAUUUGCUUCCUCACGAUUUCAUUUUAGUCUCGAAUUUAAGAUAUUUUUUCGUAAAUACACUAGUUUGGAUAUGAAUGGCCAGCGUGAAACUUCAUAGAAGAUGGACCGUUGAUUCUAUGGUUUUUUCCACACGUAUUUUGCAGGAACAGCAAGUGGACGUAUGAGUAAAGUAAUGUAUCUCUUGUCCUUGGCUGUAACCGGUCUUUCUUUAUCUUGUAAUAACAAGGUGAGUUCGAUUGAGGGUUCCGCUGUAUGACUAUAUUCAGAGUAUAAUUAAGGUGGUCACAACAGGGACUGAGUCAAUGUACAACCGAGCAUUUGCUGGCAGGCUCUUCUCAGCAAAAAUGUCUUCUCUUACUAGCUUCAAAGCCAGUGGUGUAUCCUCAAUACAAGUUGUUGCAACUCUGAAGAACAUAUUGCUAGUAUUUGUUGAGACUUGAGAAUAACAUUACCCAUCUAGAAACCUGGCCAAAAUAUAGGUUUCAGUUUUCCAGCCAUAAUCCCGACACAUGAGAUAAGGUGGGAAACAACUUUACAGGCAUUAACAUUAGAAGAAAAAUCAACAGGAAGCUAUGCUGCGUAAACAUAAAGGAACUCAGUACGAAAUAGCAAUUUUAUAAAGAAAAGGAAUACAUGACCUGAAAAAUAAAAUACCACACCCUGCAGAUGAAUCUCUUAUUCCGAACCACAAAACGCAGCUCAUAUAGCAGUAAAAAAAGAAGUAGGACUUGGAGGGAUUGGGAUUUCGACUGUCCCCUCCAACAUGAGGAGUACCUUUUUCAUUGAAGGGCGGAGGGAUAGCUCAUCAAGAGUGCACCAAAGUCCCACUUUAACCAUCCUAUCUAACUGUUUCUUUUCGACGAUUUCAUCACCCACAAGUUUGUCCAUAUCACCGUCCAGAAAACAUUGGUAAACCCACUGUUCGAGAACAGCUUCAUCCUCUGGAAGACUCCAAUCCACAUUCUUUCGACAACAUGUGAUCUCCAACAACAUAACUCCAAAGCUAUAAACAUCUGCUUUAACUGUCACCGGCAUAUUCCGGUGCCAUUCUGGUGCUACAUAUCCCCUCGUCCCUCUGAUUCCCGUGAAGGUAUUAGUUUGGUCUGACUUCAGAAUUUUUGCCAAUCCAAAGUCAGAAACUUUGGGGCACCUGCUUUCAUCUAUUAGUAUAUUCUGAGGUUUUAUAUCACAGUGGAUGAUCUGAGUCUCGCACUCUUCAUGUAGAUAAACAAUACCCCUUGCAAUGUUGCGAGCAAUUUCCAACCUUUCAUGGAAGCAAGGUCGUUUUUCAAGUGAGAAGAGUAUGUCAGCGAGGGAGCCAUUGCUCAUGUACUCGUAUACCAGGAGCCUGUGAUGUUCAUCAUGGCAAUAGCCGAGCAGACGGGCUAGGUUUCUGUGAUGUGUUUUCCCAAUGACUUUCAUCUCAUUCUGAAAUUCUCUUUCCCCUUCAGCUAGAACUUUCUCCAGUCUCUUGACAGCAACAACCUUCUGAGUACUUGAUAUGAUCCCUUUAUAAACUGUCCCAAAUGAUCCCCUGCCAAUUUCUUCCUUGAAACCACCAGUAAUAUUUUCUAGCUCUGCAUAAGUGAAAGCUCGAGGAGCAAAUAACCAAGUAAUACAAUAAAUAUAGCAUAAUAGUUUAAGGAAGAUUGCAAGUAGAUCUAACGACAACAUUAAUAGUUGCAUAUGUGUGUGUGUGAAGAUUCAAAAAAACCUAAUUUAGAAAAUACAAAAAAAAAAACCAAGUAAUGAUAGAAAAAUAGAAAGAAAAGUAUUAAAUUCUGUUUAGAUUGUUCACCUAACAAUUUAAAUUUAUUUAAAUUCUAUAUAGAUAUUGUAUUGCGAUUGGUCACGUACCGGUUUGGAUCCAUUUAGAUUUUGAUUUGGUUACCUAACAAUUAAAAUCCAUUUCAAUUUUCAUGUAUUAUCUUUUUAUAUAUAUAUAUAUAAAUUUAUUGUACAAAUAUAAUGGAAAAUGAAUUAUAACUGUUGUAAUCCAUUUUUUAUCUCUAAUUUUUCACAUGUAUUUUCAAAAAUAGAACAAAUCUUCCAAAAUAUAUUUUCAAUGAAAUUCAAUUAUUAUUUAUUUAUUAUUAUUUUUGUGUGCGUGACAAUAUAGAAAAAUAAAAAUAAAAUAAAAUUAAGGAAAUGAAAUGAAAGGCAAGAAAAACUUCAGACCGGUAUGAUUGAUGACUAAAUAAUAUAUGGAAAAUCAAGAUGAGAUUGGAAAAUUUUUGCAAAAAAUCAAUAAGAAGAUGAAAUAAAAUUUUAUAAUAGUAGUUUUCCUGUUUUGAGAGUAUCCCACAAACAACAUAUAUAAACAUGAGAGAACACUACACACACAAGUACACAGAGAUAGAGAGAUUAAAAAAGACAAGUAUACUUUUGGGCUCGUUCUUGGAGCUUACAAGCAAGUUCCAUAUAGGAAAAACCUUGGUCAACAAGAAGAAAAAAUGGCAAAAAUUAGAUUGCUCUCUGCAAGCGUAAUUCAAGCCACUGCUAACAAGGUGACAAAUGAGAGGGCUGAGUUGACUCAAUGUGAUCUAAAGCUUCUUCCGCUAGGUGCUUCUCUUCCUCAAACCCAAAUCAUCAGAAGAUCAAGACUUGUUCAUCCAACAGUUGAAAACGUCACUUUCUCGGACUCUAGAUUUCUUCACCCCUCCCGUGUUGGAAGUUAAAACCGGUGUGGUAUGGGAUCAACACAGUAAUACAAGAUAAAAAAAACUCAAGAACAAAGCUAAACAACAAGAAAAAGAAGGAGAGGAAGCUUGUUAGCCACUGUAGAACAUGAUGAUAACACAGUCUCCAAUUUCAUUGACUGCAAAAAUGCAGGAGCCCAGUUUGUUCAUGGCGCCAUGGCCGAUGGGGUAACCAUGGCUGACAUCCUCCGGCCAGUUUAUGUUCCUCCAAUUGUCCACUCUUUCUUUCCAUUGAAAGGGGUCCUAAACCACGGGGCUACUGAUGUCUCCAAGCCAUUGCAUGCCUGCAGUUCAAGUCACUGAACUUGUUGGUGGCAUCUUUAAUGGCUGUACCAUGAACCAUAUAGUUGUUGAUGGCACAUCGUUUUGAAAUUUCUUCAACUCUUGGUCUGAAAUCCAUCGUGGGUUGGAUCACAUCUCCAAGCCUCCUGUUCUUGAACGUUGGUCACCUCCCAAUCGUAGCUGCAGCUGCCUGAUCCAAAAGCAAUAAGCCGUUGCCUGCAUGCUUGUACCUUUUUUUUCUCCAAAAAAAUGGGUGUAUAAGGGGUAGUUUUUCCAGGCGUAAGACACGUCAUCCAUUAGUGUAUUUCCCGGUUAUUUUCAGUCCUAUAAAUGCAAGGUUUGAUUUACUAUAUCCCUAAAGCUUGAUUUUUAAGUAAUAUUCACCUGAAAACAUCCAAACAAAACUCAAUAAAUCUUUUUUGAAUCCAAAAUUAUCCUCUAAUCAUUCUAAAAAUUAAAAAUCAAACCAAAUGAAAAAAACAUUACAAGCCUUAAAGGGUGUUUGAGAGUGUGGUAGCGGUUGCUUUUCAAAUAGCUUUUCGUGCCGAAAAGCAUGCCAAUAAUAUUUUUUUAUUUUUUAAAAAUCAUUUUUGACAUUAGCACAUCAAAACGAUCCAAAAAAUACAAACCGCACUCAAUUUUAGCAAAAAAUAAAAAUAAAUUUUUUUUGAAUUUUUUCAAAAAGCCGAUUUGGCCGCAAUGCCAAACAGGCAAUUAAUCAAUCUAUCUGUCUAUAUAUAUAUAAAACUGAAAUAUAUAUAAAAAUUGAAAAUUGAAGAUUGCACUAUAUAUAACUAAAGAGUGCAAUUUACAUUGAAGAGGGAAAGUUCUUGCUUUUUUUUUUUUAAUUAUUAUUAUUAAUGUUGAUGUUCGGAUUAGCUUACUCGUACCUCAAUUAAUUUAAAAUGUUCUAAAAUUAACGACCAUGUAAACUCUUCUAGUGAUUCUAAGAUUUAUAAAAUUCAAACCGAUGAUUUUUAAAAAACAAGUCUAGAGUCUAAUUAAUUAAACUAUACCUUUUAAAAUUAAGUUAUUAUUCUUUUAUUCAUAUUGAUUAUUGACAUUUAGCGAAGAUUUGUUUUUUAAAAAUUCAUGUUUGCAUGACUCUCUAAAAGACCCUACACAAGUUCGAUUUUUCUUUUCUUUCAAUUAGAUUUUUUUUUUCUGUUUUCACUUUAAUUAAAUAGAGUCAGGUUGAGCAUCAUAUAUAUUGCACGAUACUCAUCUUAAUGAAAAUAGGAUGAGACUUGGCUAUUAUUUUUUCUAUUAACAAGCUUUAAUAACGUAAUUAUAAUGUAUGUGAAUGAUUGAAUUAUAUUUAAUCGAAUUGUCUAAAUGCAAUGAAUAUAGCAUUAAACUGACUAAAUUCUUUUCAUAAGGGUUUAUUUACUUAUUUAACAAUAAUUUUUAAACUUAAUCCCACAAUUAAUUUGAAUAAGUUUUAGAUCACGAGUCUAUUUAUUUUUUAUUUUAUAAAUGAUAAAAAUAAUAUUAUUUAAAAAAAUAAUAAGUUUUAAUUAAGCUUUUUUUAGAUUGACCAGAUUAUUGGUCAAACCAAGUUUUUUAUCUAGUCAUAUUGAGCUAAGUCUUCUUUUAUUUUUAUUGAAAUUGACUUAAUUAGAUAUCAAAUCACAACUCAACCCUUUAGUCUGUUGAAGUUUUAAAUUAAUGGAUUUAACACAAAUACAAGGUUUGAAUGGGGCUUCUCCAAGGAAAACUCGAAUAAGAGAGCUAUGUUUAGAUGGUGUUUGUGUGUGAGUUUUAAUUAAUUAAUUUUAUUAAAAUUUGAAUUUUUUUAAUUAUUAUUUUAGUAUUUUUUGAUUGUUUUAAUAUGGUGAUAUUAAAAAUAAAUUUUAAAAAAGAAAAAAAUAUAUAUUUUUAAUAUUUUUCAAAUACAAAAUAUUUAAAAAAAAUUAUUGAUAGACUGUUAAAUACUCUUUCAAAUAAAAAAUAUUUUUAAAAAAUAUAUUAAAAGCCCCCUUUAAGCUUACCAAAACCUCAGAGCAAAAAACAAGAAAGGAAAAGAGUAAAACAAAAUGGCUCCAGCCAAGAAAGGAAAACCGAAGGCAAACUCGGCCGUGUCAACUCAGUCAAAACCCACAGCCCCAAGUCCCCAAAACAAUUUCCCAUCUUGCAUACGUGCAGUCCCUCCUUCCUCCGUCGCCAUCACCAUCCACGCCAAACCCGGUUCCAAAUCCGCCUCCAUCACUGGUGGGUCUAUACACACGUGCAAAAGGACUGUUUUGAUUCUUGUUUAGGUUAAAAAAUUAAAGCUUCAAUGUGUUUUUUUCUUCCUGAUAUUGUAUGUAGAUUUGAGUGAUGAAGCGGUGGGAGUACAAAUAGAUGCACCUGCUAAAGAUGGUGAAGCUAAUGCUGCACUUCUUGAUUACAUUAGCUCUGUAAGUCUUUUUUUUUUCCCUUACGUUAUAAGUUGGUUAUUCGUUUUUAAUGUUUUGUGAUAGAGAAUUAUUGGCUUAAUUUUCGAGAAUUUUACAGGCAUGUGUGAUGUUAAUCAAUGCCUGUCAAAUUUUUUGAUGUUUCGGUACUACGCAUAUGGAGAGAAAUAUUUUGAGUUGGUACAGUUUUGGCUGAAUUUUCUAGAGGAAAGGAGAUUUGUAGCAUGAGGUCGGGAGACGAAAGUGGCUUUUUUUUUUUUUGGAGAGAAACGGUAGAACGGAUUCUUACGGUUCAUCAAAUUUUACAGGCAUGUGUGAUGUUAAUCAUUGCCUGUCAAUUUUUUUGAUGUUUUGGUACUACGCAUAUGGAGAGAAAUAUUUUGAGUUGGUACAGUUUUGGCUGAAUUUUCUAGAGGAAAGGAGACUUGUAGUAUGAGGGCGGGGGAUGAAAGUGGCCUUUUUUAUAUUUUUUUGGAGAGAAAUGGUAGAACAGAUUCUUACAGUUCAUGAAUUAAUUAGAGAGGGUUUUAUUUUGUCUUUGGGCUUGCAUGCAAAAGGAAUGGUGAAUCUAUAGUCCUUAUAUUUAGCCUAUCAGUAUUUUGAUGAUGGAUUUGCUGGAUUCUAGACAUGCGCAAUGAGUUAGAAAACAGCAUCAAUGUGCUUAAUGUAGAGUAUUUGGAAGCAGUCAAAUAUUGAUGCUUUUUUUGGGAUCAUGGCUCGUGUCCUUGAGAUUAUUUUGAAAGAGGGUUAUGCUGGCACUUUGUUAACUUCUAUUGGGAGUUUUUAUUAUGAUAGUGUAUCUGGCAUUUUCCUAUUUCAUCAAGUUGGUGUAAGUAUUUGAUGCAAGUUGAGGAUUGAGUUAAUUUUGAACGCAUAUGGUAAUAAUAAUUUUUUUACUGACCUUUUGAAACCAUGAAUUGCUAGGAAGAGUUUGAAAUUGAAAGAGGAUGAAAGAGUAAAUGCAUUAAGAGAGAGGAUGCGAUUUCAUGAGUGAUAUAAUCAACUGGGAUCCCUGGCUUAGCCCAAUAGUAGAUGAAAAGCUUCUCUCUUCCAUAGGAUAAGUGUGAUUUAGAGCAUUUAAUCUUCUGAAAAAAUAAUAAUGAGGUGUUUACUGUUCAAUCACAACUGUAAACAUGGUUGAAUAACUGAAGAGAGUUAUUUAUGAAAAUUAACAAAUUCUUGUCGUGAUAUCUUGCAUUUAGAUAGAGAACCUCCUCUGUUUUAGUACAGAAAAGGUUCACAAGUAUGGUUCUCUCAACCAACAGGUGUUGGGGGUGAAGCGGAGGCAGGUAUCCAUAGGCUCUGGUUCUAAAUCGAGAGACAAGGUGGUGAUUGUGGAGGAGGUAACUCUACAAAAUGUUUUUGAUGCUUUGGAGAAAGUGUCCAAAUGCUGCUAAUUUAAAAAGAAGAAGAGAGGUUCAGUGUGCUUUCGUUAACAAGAGAUAUGAUUUACAUGAUCUUAUACUGAACACAAGGUAUUUGGAUAGGACAACAUUCCUAGUCCACGCUGAUGUUUAAAAUAGUUUGGUCUGUAGUUUUGUUUCUUCUAUCUCACACUGAAACAAUAAUCUUUUUAUUUAAAACUGUAAGUACAGAAGCUGUAGUGUUACUUAUGAAUAUAAUGACUGAUGUUCCAUGAAUAUUCAAGUUAGAUGCUAAUUUAUUCAUCUUCACCAUGGUUCUUCUAGUUCUCAUUUUUCUUUAUGAUUUCUUCCCCCUUUUUUCUUAUGAAUUUCACUAAGAGAUCAUUAUAGCUAUACUUUUGCACGACAGGCUUGCUAAUACCUAGCGACAUGCUGUGAAAACCAUCUUAUUUUGUCCUCCAGCUUUUGAUUCUUCUGGCUGUUUUGCCAUUAAUAAUGCUAGAUUUAAGGUUUAGGUCCGCUGUUGUUAUUACCUGAUUUUUGUGUAAUUCGCCUAUAAAUGAAAUUACUCUCUAGUGAUAAAAGGAAUGGAGUGCAGAUAUUGUGUCAUGAACAAAAGGCUAGUAUUUGUUUAUUGCAGGAGCAAGAGAAGUCUCGGCUCAUACUUGGCCAGGAAAACAUUUAUCUUUUUCACACUGUAUAAGCAUUUUGUCAUGAGGGUAAUCUUAUUGAUUAAGAAUCAUCUAUCAGAAGUGGAGUAUCCUCAAUACAAGUUGUUGCAACUCUGAAGAACAUAUUGCUAGUAUUUGUUGAGACUUGAGAAUAGCAUUACCCAUCUAGAAACCUGGCCAAAAUUAUAGGCUUCAGUUUUCCAGCCAUAAUCCCGACACAUGAGAUAAGGUGGGUAACAACUUUACAGGCAUUAACAUUAGAGGAAAAAUCAACAGGAAGCUCCCAAAUGCUGCGUAAACAUAAAGGAACUCAGUACGAAAUAGCAAUUUUAUAAAGAAAAGGAAUACAUGACCUGAAAAAUAAAAUACCACACUCUGCAGAUGAAUCUCUUAUUCCGAACCACAAAACGCAGCUCAUAUAGCAGUAAAAAAAGAAGUAGGACUUGGAGGGAUUGGGAUUUCGACUGUCCCCUCCAACAUGAGGAGGACCUUUUUCAUUGAAGGGCGGAGGGAUGGCUCAUCAAGAGUGCACCAAAGUCCCACUUUAACCAUCCUAUCUAACUGUUUCUUUUCGACGAUUUCAUCACCCACAAGUUUGUCCAUAUCACCGUCCUGAAAACAUUGGUAAACCCAUUGUUCGAGAACAGCUUCAUCCUCUGGAAGACUCGAAUCGACAUUCUUUCGACAACAUGUGAUCUCCAACAACAUAACUCCAAAGCUGUAAACAUCUGCUUUAACUGUCACCGGCAUAUUCCGGUGCCAUUCUGGUGCUACAUAUCCCCUAGUCCCUCUUAUUCCGGUGAAGGUUUUAGUUUGGUCUGACUUCAGCAACUUUGCCAAUCCAAAGUCAGAAACUUUGGGGCACCUGCUUUCAUCUAUUAGUAUAUUCUGAGGUUUUAUAUCACAGUGGAUGAUCUGAGUGUCGCACUCUUCAUGUAGAUAAACAAUACCCCUUGCAAUGUUGCGAGCAAUUUCCAACCUUUCAGGGAAGCAAGGUCGUUUUUCAAGUGAGAAGAGUAUGUCAGCGAGGGAGCCAUUGCUCAUGUACUCGUAUACCAGGAGCCUGUGAUGUUCAUCGUGGCAAUAGCCGAGCAGACGGACUAGGUUUCUGUGAUGUGUUUUCCCAAUGACUUUCAUCUCAUUCUGAAAUUCUCUUUCCCCUUCAGCUAGAACUUUCUCCAGUCUCUUUACAGCAACAACCUUCUGAGUACUUGAUAUG
rnacentral:lncRNA from 1 species